rnacentral:misc_RNA from 1 species
CGUAAUUCGCUUUUAUUUAUUAAAUGUCUAUUGUUAUUUUGUAGUGCGUUAUUUGUCGUAUUAGUGAGUUUAGAACGGAGGAAGAGGAAGUGUUUGUUUGUUAGAAAAAAAAACAAAAUAGCAAUCUUGUUUGUCACGUGAUCGGGUAUCCUUUAUAAAAGAGAUGACCUGGGAUGGACGGCGAGUUAGAAAUGAGAACGGAGAAGUUUGGAGUGGUUCUGCUGGUGUUUGUUGGUCACGCGUGGUGUAGGCAAUCGGAUGAAGACGAUACCAGGAGCGUACGAGUUAAUUACGGAGGAUGGAGACCCAUUAGGGGGAGGAAUCAUUACGCUAGGAAGCUGAACGACUCGAAAAUCGACCCCUCUCAAAGAAACUUAUACGUUGUAGUGCCGAGUGAAUUAGUUAACGCCGCGAAGGAGCCUGUUAGAGAGCAGCCAAAACACCAUCAAGAAGAUUAUCACGCGGCAGAAUCUCAAGUUAAGCAACUGAGAGCGUUGGAUGCCGAACCGUUCCCCGUUUCGGAACCCAUUACAGAUUUGAGGACUUUCAUUGGUGCUAAAUUCGAAGACCAGCACGUGCAAGAAUCUCAACAAAGUGAAGUCUUUCAUCAAACUAUUUUUCCUGGUAAACCACCACCGUUUAAUGGAGAACGAACCAAACUUCAUAAUAAUCACCCCGGUCAGAAAGAAGGAAACGAUCCAACGUUUGAAAUCAGUCAUCAAGGUGUAUUGCAGUUAAAACCCAUCGGUAUUAUUCCUAAUUUUCCAAAUACGGGACAUUUUCAACACGCGGAAGAUCUUAAUGUUCAAGAGAAUAAUCUUCACGGUUUAAGAGGAUUUAAACAAGAAGGAGUGGAAGUGGCACAGGAGCAACGUCCUCAUCCCAAUUUCCACAAAAAUGACCAUCACUUUGGAUUAAGAAUACGUAAUCAGGAGACAAAAUUAGUAGAGGAGAAGUUUAAACAACAGAAUUUUGCAGAUAACUCUGAGAGAAUUCAUCCUAACGCUGAAGGAUACGAAAAUAUUGAGUAUUUUGAAGGUCAUUCAAGUGUCCAUUCAAGUGAAAAGCGUUUACCUCCUAAACGCUAUCAUCCCUCAAUUCGUCCCAACUCUGCCAACCAGCAACUGUUUCAAUCUAACAAUGAACACCAAUCAUCUGUAGUUACUAACAUAGGUCAACAACCAUCUGUCGUUAAUGAUAGAGAGCAUCAAUCAUCUGUCCAUUUCCAGAAAACACUCAGCAGUCAGUUACAUUUUGGAGAAAAUACAGAACCGAAGGACCACUACGAGAAAGGCGAAACGCGAUUUAUUUCGCAGAUCGACAAAACUGUAAAUGCUCAUCCUUCUUCUCGUCCUUAUCCGUCCAGAGGCACAUAUUUUCCACCAUUAAUAAACCCGAACAUCAAUGUAGAGCCGAAUAACGCCGUGCCUUUUCAGCCUUCUUUUAGACCUUCCGUCGGCCCAGCCGUUCCUCAUGGUAUAAGACAAGAAUUUGUUUCUGCUCCUCAACCUCCGCAACAACCAUUGCCGAACUGUGCACCAAGGAUUAGCAACGAAAACCAUAAUCUUGAAAAUUCUUUAGAAGAGAUCACUGAACGAUACGAUGCAAACUUGCUGUUUCAACACGUUCCUCUUUCUCAAAAUGGAUUACUGCGAUUAAUAUCAGCUGGAGGCCCGUAUACUUUAUUCCUACCAUCAAACGAAGUAAUUUUGCGUUUGCCACAACCACUUUUACAAAAAUGGAAAAGAAAUCCUCAGGCAUUGAUGUUUAUUCUUCUAAAUCAUGCCGUUCAUGGAAGAGUUACACUUUCAGAUCUGCGUGAGAAAAGACUCGUGGAGUCCAAAUCAAACAAUGCACUCUUAUUUAUUAACGAUUACAGGAACGAAACAGUUACUAUCAACGGAAGAAGGAUAAUAACAGCUGAUAUACCAGGUCCACACGGAGGUGCCAUACAUAUAAUUGAUGGAAUUCUUCAUCCGCCGGCCGAUAAAGACAUAAUAGAUACCAUCACGGUCUGUGAUAGAUUUGAUGGUUUCCUUACUUUAGCAGAUGCUGCUGACGUUACGGGAUAUUUACGUGGAGCAAUGAUGCUCUGAUGAAGAUCGAAAAAGAGGACAUGGACAUUCUUAAAUCUAACAUCACUGCUCUUAGAGAAUUUCUCCUGUAUCAUAUUCUGGAAGGUGUAUAUUAUGGCGGCGACUUACUCGAUGGUCAAUAUUUACAAACUGCAUACCAAGAGCAUUCAGUUAAAGCUGGAAUUAGGGUCGAUG